rnacentral:rRNA from 1 species
UACGUAGGGAGCAAGCGUUGUCCGGAAUCAUUGGGCGUAAAGAGCGUGUAGGCGGCCCGGUAAGUCCGCUGUGAAAGUCCAGGGCUCAACCCUGGGAUGCCGGUGGAUACUGUCGGGCUCGAGUCCGGAAGAGGAGUGUGGAAUUCCGUGGUGUAGCGGUGAAAUGCGCAGAUAUCAGGAGGAACACCGGUGGCGAAGGCGGGUCUCUGGGCCGAUACUGACGCUGAGGAGCGAAAGCAUGGGUAGCGAACAGG